UACGGGGGGGGCAAGCGUUGUUCGGAAUUACUGGGCGUAAAGGGCUCGUAGGCGGCCAACUAAGUCGGAUGUGAAAUCCCCAGGCUUAACCUGGGAACUGCAUCCGAUACUGGAUGGCUUGAAUCCGGGAGAGGGAUGCAGAAUUCCAGGUGUAGCGGUGAAAUGCGUAGAUAUCAAGAGGAACACCUGAGGUGAAGACGGGUUGCUGGGCUGACACUGACGCUGAGGCGCGAAAGCUAGGGGAGCAAACGGG
rnacentral:rRNA from 1 species